CGGAGAAAAAAUUGCACCCUUUUUUAUAAACAAUCCAUUUGCUGAGCCUCAAAUUCUUAAAAACUCGUGCUGACUCUGACUUGUUGGUAUAUAUUUCAUAAACAUUUCAUCCUCAAUAUUCUUAUAAAAUUUGUUUAUAAAAAUUCCUGUUAACAAACCAGCGAUAAUUCAUGCUAAAAGAUUUUGCAGAGGCAAAAAUUUUCCUGCAGUAACCAUGGAAGCCUUCUACAAGGGCGAGACUUUUUCAAAGGUCAUUUGCUUUAGUGCUGCACCUUACAAUGGGAAGUAUCAUCCACAACAACAAGUUUUUUGCAGCACAUUUCCGGAGUUUGUAAAACGCAGAUGUCCACUCGCACUUCCGCGUUCACUGGAUUUGGCAUAUCGAACGUAAUCAAAUGAUAACGAUCAAUUUCCAACAAUGAAGACAAACGAAAGACUUGUUUUUUGAGAAUGGCAUGUCAACAGCAUGGGUCCUCCUAUAUUUGAGACAGAGGCACUACUCGUACCUAAACAGUGCAUCGAUGUUAACCUACGAAGCUCCCCAAAGGCGACGUCAUCUGGAUCAGGAAUCCUGCCGAAAAAGAAAUGUAAACAAAAUGCAGAAAAAAACAAACUACAUUAAAAAUAUUGUCGUUAACAAUAUUUCAGUCACUAAAUAGUUUUGAAAGGAUCUUGGGAACAAUGCCUAAUGACUGAAAGUAUUGACAAAUACAUUAGGCAAGGCUACUCUAUAAAUUCAGAGUUUCUCCUACAAGGAGGCAGAAUGAUUGAAGCCAGUCAGUUUAUCGACAAUGUCAUAAUAAAUAGGAAAAUUAUCUACAAGCCAAUAGACGCGGGAAAAUGAGAGUAUGUAUUCAACUCCUACCUCAGCUCUGGGUAUACAUUAUCCAAAUACCAUUUGAAGUUUUUACAUUUCAGCUUUCUACGUAGCUCUCUCCUUUCUUCAACACUAAAAUUUUAAAAAACAAAACUUACGGCCCUGCUCAUUUAAAAACCGCCAGUCAAUAAGCAGUACUCUUUU